rnacentral:rRNA from 1 species
CGAACGCUGGCGGCGUGCCUAAUACAUGCAAGUCGAGCGAAUGACGAGGAGCUUGCUCCUCUGAUUUAGCGGCGGACGGGUGAGUAACACGUGGGCAACCUGCCCUGUAGACUGGGAUAACUUCGGGAAACCGGAGCUAAUACCGGAUAAUCCAUUUCACCUCAUGGUGAAAUGUUGAAAGGCGCAUCUCGCGUCACUACAGGAUGGGCCCGCGGUGCAUUAGCUAGUUGGUGGGGUAACGGCCUACCAAGGCAACGAUGCAUAGCCGACCUGAGAGGGUGAUCGGCCACAUUGGGACUGAGACACGGCCCAAACUCCUACGGGAGGCAGCAGUAGGGAAUCUUCCACAAUGGACGAAAGUCUGAUGGAGCAAACCGGCCACGUGAGUGAUGAAGGUUUUCGGAUCGUAAAACUCUGUUGUAAGGGAAGAACAAGUACGUUAGGAAAUGAACGUACCUUGACGGUACCUUAUUAGAAAGCCACGGCUAACUACGUGCCAGCCGCCGC